UACGGGGGGGGCAAGCGUUGUUCGGAAUUACUGGGCGUAAAGGGCUCGUAGGUUGCCAACUAAGUCGGACGUGAAAUCCCUCAGCUUAACUGGGGAACUGCGUCCGAUACUGGAUGGCUUGAGUUUGGGAGAGGGAUGCGGAAUUCCAGGUGUAGCGGUGAAAUGCUUAGAUAUGACAUAGAACACCAAUUGCGAAGGCAGCUGGCUACACGAAUAUUGACACUGAUGCACGAAAGCGUGGGGAUCAAACAGG
rnacentral:rRNA from 1 species